ensembl:misc_RNA Y_RNA Y RNA
GGCUGGUCUGAUGGCAGUGGGUUAUCAGAACUUAUUAACAUUAGUGUCACUAAAGUUGGUAUACCACCCCCCCUCCCACUGCUAAAUUUGACUGGCUUUAA